CGCGAGUCCUUCAGUCUUUUGCCACCAGUGCCGCGAAGUGGGCGGCGAGGCUUCCGUCCACAUGUUAUACCUUUUCGGCUGUUGCACGCGCACGCUAAUCCCAAAGUGAGUGUCGCGUGCGAUGCUCUAAUUAACCCUUCAAAAACACAAGUUCGAAUUUAUUUUAUGUUUCAUAAACCACGUGGGUUUUCGGCGUAAAAAUAUUUACAAAAAAAUUUCGAACUGCGGUGCAGAAUUGCGGCAGCAACAAUUAUUUUCGCAUAGGAAAAUUACACAUAUACCACUCCAUAGCAAACGAGAACGAAACUAUGUCUGGUGAUAACAACGUGUAAAAUUGUUUGGUGCGUGAUAAUCGAAGAGAGACUGGAGGGGGAUUAAUGUUUAGCAUUUAGCUUGGACAGCAGUACCAGUAAUUCAAUAUGUGGCAAAGAUAAAAUAUUUAGAUAAGGAGCAAAUUUAGCAUGGAUACGAGAUCAUGAAAUAGGCAUCGUAUUUGUAUUCCUUUUCUAUUAAUCAAGCCAUAUUUUGUAUUGUUUGUGCUUAUAAUAAUAUAAACAAUAAACUAAGGUCAU